rnacentral:tRNA from 1 species
GACUCGAUAGCUCAGUCGGUAGAGCACAUCACUUUUAAUGAUGGGGUCCUGGGUUCGAGCCCCAGUCGAGUCA